CCAAGGUCACGGCGCAGUCAGGGGUCAUAAAGGCGUGAGGGGUCACAAUGGGGUCGGAAGCAUGCGGGGGGUCAGGGCAGAGCCCGCGUGACCCCCAAAGUAGUCCCCUGUCGCUCAUCGCCAGGUUCUCGCCGAUCGCCAUCGACGGUAUGAGCGGCCUGGCGGGCGUGGGCCUGUCGGGGGGCGCGGCAGGCGCUGGCUGGUGCAUCUUCGUGUACAACCUGUCACCGGAGGCGGACGAGAGUGUGCUGUGGCAGCUGUUCGGGCCCUUUGGGGCAGUCACCAACGUCAAGGUCAUCCGCGAUUUCACCACCAACAAAUGCAAGGGGUUCGGCUUCGUGACCAUGACCAACUAUGACGAGGCGGCCAUGGCCAUCGCCAGCCUGAACGGCUAUCGCCUGGGCGAGCGCGUGCUGCAGGUCUCCUUCAAGACCAGCAAACAGCACAAGGCGUGAGCCCGCCCCGCCUGCCCUCCCACCCCCUCCCCGGGCAGCAGAGAGAGAGAAAGAGAGAGAGAGAGAGAGAAGGGGCCCAAGAGAGACAGCACAGGCAGCCCCACGGACGACGCGAGGGCCCCACGUCCCUGCGGAAGCCACAGGGUGAGCACUCCGGGGUGGGAGGGUCUGCAGGGAAUGGGGGGGUGCCCGGGGAUCCCCCGCCCCAUCCUCCUGCCCCCACCCCAGGCUGGGCUGUUCACUCUCUCGUCUUGGUUUGGUUCAUGGUGAAGGUUUUUGUUUCUUUUUUCCGGCUAAAAAGAAUGCAGAGAUGUGCCCCCACCCCCACCCCCGACCACCCCCGAUGGGAUGGCUUGCGGGGCUCCAGGGGGUGCCCUCCCAGACCCCCUUGCCCAGGCCUCCCCAGCACCUAGGUGGGGCCUGGGGUAGGAGGAACAGGUUUAAAAAUCCCCAAAAAAGCGAACCGUGAGGAGGGGUGUGGGCACCCCCAGCCCAGUGCCCCCUGGUGGAAUGCGGGGAGCAGGCAGUGGGGCUGGAAGCAGGAACAAAUGAAAAAAAAAAGGGGGGGUGGGAGGGGAAGAAAAACUCUAUUUUUGUAAAAAGGGAAAAAGACCUCGUGGAGAAUUUUUACUGGGGAUUCUUGAACUUGAAAAAAAAAA